rnacentral:lncRNA from 10 species
AAAUCACAGAGGACCCCCACCAGGCCAGACUGGCUCACCUGCUUGAUGAAUGCACCAGCCCACUCUCCCAUCCGGGGAGGCCUGUCGGGCAUAAUGAUGUGGAACAUACUUGUUUUCUAUUCAGCUACGAAAGCAGGGUAUUAUCAAAUUUUAAAAGGCAUCGGCCAGGCACUGUGGCACAUACCUGUAAAACCAGGCACUUUGGGAGGCCAAAGUGGGUGGAUCGCUUGAGCCCAGGAGUUCAAGACCAGCCUGGGCAACAUGGCAAAACCCCGUCCCCUCUGCAAAACACACAAAAAUUAGCUGGGGAUGGUGGCACAGGCCUGUAGUCUCAGUUUCUCGGGAAGUUGAAGUGGAAGGAUCACUUGAGCCCGAGAGGCGGAGGUUGCAGUGAGCUGAAAUCCCA